GGAAACUCCGGGACCCUGCAAGGGAUGACUCACCCCAGUGAUUCAACCGCGCCACCGAGCGCGGAGCUGCCCUGGAGGACGCAGGCGGGUCUAGUUGCCCGGGUCCCCCAAGGCCCCCGGAUUCACCCAGGCCCGCGACUCCGACGUGCAGCUUAGGUGGGUUGCAGGUCUAUGGCAGGAAAGGGAGGGCGCCUUGGAAGAAUUCUUCCCUUCCAUUUGGUGAUAAAGUGGGAGAGGCGGCAUUUACAACAUUUAAUAGAAAGCACGGGCUCUGGGCUCCCCUCGGGCAGCGGAGGGCAUUUCCCGGAUGCUUUGCCCACCUGGGGCAGAAGCUCGGGACCUGCAGCGAAGUAAACGUGUGGCUGUGAGCAGGGCCCUCUCCCAGCCACGGUGGCUUCUUCUACCCCACGAAGGUCAAGAAUACCUGGCCUGCCCACCUCGCGGGGCCCUUAGCGGGUCGCACAGGAGAAAGGCGGUGGGAAUGCCGGUGUCAGCCACGGUGUGACCGGCUCGGCUCACAGGUCUGAGGGUCAGUUGGCUCAGGCAUCGCCCGGUACGACCAGAGAUAGUGACUGAGGAAGAGCAGCCUCACAUCUGGCAGUUUGCCUCUGGGAGAAUUCCAGCGUGACAUCUGCAGCUCUGUGGUUCCAGAAAGGAUGGUUCCCACAUUGAAGAAGACAUCUGUGGGACUGAGUUCCACCGAAAUGCAGAGGAACCAAAAAUGAAAAUGAAAAAUGUAACCAGAGUUGUGUGCCACUAGUUUUAAGCUUUGGUUUUUCUAAAUUAUUUUCUGGCUUCUCCUUCUGGGCUUUGCUGUAAACUUGCCAAGCAUGAGAACAACUCUUCAUCUAUUGAGUGGCAUUUUAAGCCAUCCUGUCAAAGUAUCUCCUGUCAUUUUUAUUAUUAUUACUCUAUAUUGCCUGCAAGACACGACUGGAGAAUUCUUAGUGUAAGAAUUGUUUGUUUCCUCUCUCCUUCUUUCCCACGUUUUCCCAGGGAAGUCAGUCUUGCAUUUUAAUGCAUACUAUAUACAUAUCUCGUUUAGCUUACUGAACCACUUGUUUUAACAGAAUAAAACUGUGCAAAAUUUUAAUUUUCCUCCUUU
rnacentral:lncRNA from 10 species